UGGGGAAUAUUGGACAAUGGACGAAAGUCUGAUCCAGCAAUGCCGCGUGAGUGAUGAAGGCCUUAGGGUUGUAAAGCUCUUUUAGUAGGGAAGAUAAUGACGGUACCUACAGAAAAAGCCCCGGCAAACUCCGUGCCAGCAGCCGCGGUAAUACGGAGGGGGCUAGCGUUGUUCGGAAUUACUGGGCGUAAAGAGCGCGUAGGCGGUUCGUAAAGUUGGAAGUGAAAUCCCGGGGCUUAACCCCGGAACUGCUUUCAAAACUUAUGGACUAGAGAGUGAUAGAGGAUGGUGGAAUUCCUAGUGUAGAGGUGAAAUUCUUAGAUAUUAGGAGGAACACCGGUGGCGAAGGCGGCCAUCUGGGUCACAUCUGACGCUGAGGUGCGAAAGCGUGGGGAGCAAACAGG
rnacentral:rRNA from 1 species